rnacentral:sRNA from 1 species
UACAUGCAUGCGGUACAUACACCAAAAUA